UACGAAGGUGGCAAGCGUUGUUCGGAUUUACUGGGCGUACAGGGAGCGUAGGCGGUUGGAUAAGCCCUCCGUGAAAUCUCCAGGCUUAACCUGGAAAGUGCAGAGGGGACUGUUCAGCUAGAGGAUGGGAGAGGAGCGCGGAAUUCCCGGUGUAGCGGUGAAAUGCGUAGAUAUCAAGUGGAACACCAGUGGCGAAGGCGAAUCCCUGGAAAAUACCUGACACUGAGGCACGAAAGCUAGGGGAGCAAACAGG
rnacentral:rRNA from 1 species